GAUGAAGAACGUAGCAAAAUGCGAUACUUGGUGUGAAUUGCAGAAUCCCGUGAACCAUCGAGUUUUUGAACGCAAGUUGCGCCCGAAGCCUUUUGGCCGAGGGCACGUCUGCCUGGGCGUCACGCAUCGCGUCGCCCCCCACAGCUCUCCGUAAAGGGAACUUGUGUUUUGGGGGCGGAUAUUGGUCUCCCGUGCUCAUGGCGUGGUUGGCCGAAAUAGGAGUCCCUCCGGUGGACGCACGAACUAGUGGUGGUCGUAAAAACCCUCGUCUUUUGUUUCGUGCCGUUAGUCGCGAGGGAAACUCUUUAAAAACCCAAAUGUGUCGUCUCUUGACGGCGCUUCGACCGCGACCCCAGGUCAGGCGGGACUACCCGCUGAGUUUAAGCAUAUCAAUAAGCGGAGGA
rnacentral:misc_RNA from 1 species